rnacentral:rRNA from 1 species
GAUGAACGCUGGCGGCGUGCUUAACACAUGCAAGUCGAACGAUGAACCCGGAGCUUGCUCCGGCGGAUUAGUGGCGAACGGGUGAGUAACACGUGAGUAACCUGCCCUUGACUCUGGGAUAACUGCGGGAAACUGUAGCUAAUACCGGAUACGACCCUCGGCGGCAUCGCCAGGGGGUGGAAGGAAUUUCGGUAAAGGAUGGACUCGCGGCCUAUCAGCUAGUUGGUGAGGUAACGGCUCACCAAGGCGACGACGGGUAGCCGGCCUGAGAGGGUGACCGGCCACACUGGGACUGAGACACGGCCCAGACUCCUACGGGAGGCAGCAGUGGGGAAUAUUGCACAAUGGGCGCAAGCCUGAUGCAGCAACGCCGCGUGAGGGAUGACGGCCUUCGGGUUGUAAACCUCUUUUAGUAGGGAAGAAGCGGAAGUGACGGUACCUGCAGAAAAAGCACCGGCUAACUACGUGCCAGCCGCCGCCGUAA